ensembl:lncRNA
ACAGACCAACAGGACAGGAAGUACGGCCAGUCCUCCUGGAAGGCGCGCCUGGGGCCUGAGAGCCAAGAAUUAGAGUUUCCAGCUGCAUCUCUCAUGAGUCACGGAGAGAUGGUCUCAUCGUUCCAGAUUUCCCGCCUCACUCUGUAAUGCUUUAUAGCUGCUGAUGCCUCUGGGAAUGCUGCUCCCAUGGCUACACCAUCCUGGCUAUCCCUGUUGAUUCUGUCAAUGACUCCAGUUUGUUUUGGAGGGAACACCGGCUCGAUCCCUGGUCUGGGAAGAUUUCACGUGCCCUGGAGCAUAAGCCCAUGCGCCACAACUACUGAGCCUAUGUGCCGAAAUGACUGAAGCCCGCGUGCCUGGAGGCUGUGCUCUGUGACAAGCGCUGCAGUGAGAAGCCUGCGCACCACAAGGAAGAGUAGCCCCUGUCCUCUGCAACUAGACAGAAGCCCAUGUGCAGCAAAGAAGACCCAGCGC